ensembl:lncRNA
AUGAAAGACGGAAUGUUACAAUGAAGGAGAGCUUUCACAGAUGGACAGGUGCAUGCAGAACAUGCCUGGCCAUCCCUCAACUGUACACAAAACGUCUGCCAUGUAACCACAUCUGUAGGAUGCUACUCUGGGCUGAUAGAGCCAACUGCUGCAAGGAGACUGCUGCUUGCAGGUUCCCACUGAAGAUAACUGGAGGCAGAACAUCGCUGGCAUCUGGAGAGUCUCAAAACACGGGCAACGUGACUAUCUGCUCCAUUCUAGAGCCUUGCCAUGUCAUCCUUUCAGGAAGUCAAGAUUUUAGAAGAAAAAAACUCACAGCAAUUGACAGAAGAAAAGAACUGGUGCGUGAGCCUUAGCGUCAUCAACGUUCAAGCCGUAUCUAUAACAGAAGUCUGUUUCUCUGAGUAACUUCAGCAUGCUGAAAAGAUAAGCAGGUGCUUUGCUGCUUUCAGAAUCUCCUUCAGCUUCCCAGAUCCCAGUUAAUCAGAACAGGAAAGAGAAAACUGAAAAAAAAAACAAACCCCAAAUGCCUUACUUGUUGGGGACAAUUCUACAUAACUAAAUACUUUCAAAUUGUGAUGCUAAUUACACAGAUUAAGGAAAGGCUCACCUGUAGUUUUAACUAAAAUAUCAGUG